ensembl:lncRNA
AUGGACUUCCAAGAAGUACGAUAUAAUAAAAGGAAAAAAGGAAGUAACAUGGGUGAUGAGUCUGAAUAUGAGAAACUAUGUACAAGUAAAACCAGGGAUUCAGGGCAAAGGAUGAUGAGAAACAGAGAGGAAAAGGAAAUAAAAGUUAUGAUUACUUUUGUCAAACAAGCAGAGCAAUACAUACAUCCUGUUAAAUUAUCAAAAGCGAUAGAAAAAGAAGUGGGAUCAGUGAAAGGGGCAGCGUGCCUGAGCAAUGGAAGAGUCUUGAUUAAAUGUAAGGAUGAAAAUCAGAAAGCAAAGAUUCUAAAACUGAAAACACUAGGUGGUGGUAAAAUAAGUUGUGCUGGAAUAGAUGUGAAGAAAUGUGGCGUUAUUUCAGCAGUACCCUUAAGUGUAACUAUGGAAGAAGUAAAAGGAAACUUGAUUGGAGGUAAAGUUGCUUUGGCUAGAAGAUUGACGACAUGGAAAGAUAAUGAAAAAUGUGAUAGUCUUUCUGUGCUGUUACACUUUGUAGACAACAAUCUACCAGUCAAGGUGAAGCUAGGUUUCAUCAGUUAUGUGGUACGGGAGUAUGUACCCCCUCCUUUGCGUUGUUAUAAGUGUCAGUGCAUAGGUCAUACUGCUGCUGUUUGCAAAGGGAAAAUGCGUUGUGCAAAAUGUGGAGGGGAGCAUGAAUACGGGAAGUGUCAGGAAGGAGCUGAGAUCAAGUGUUGCAACUGUGGGGGAGAACACAGCGCUGCAUAUGCAGGAUGUCCAGUACAAAAACAAGCUCGUGAAAUCCAAAAGGUAAAAUCCACCCAGAAUGUAACAUAUGCAGAAGCAGCUCGUAGAGUGAAACAUGUAGACGAUACAAGAAUGCAUAUUGGACCGGAACAAACCUCUCAGAAUGACAAGUCAAUGGAACAGCUGAACUUGAUAAAGAAUGACUCAAAUGACAACAUUAACAUGAGCAAAACUGAUUUUGUGGCAUUUAUCUGUGCAGUGGUGAAUGGCACUGGGCAGGUGGAAAGAAGAUCUGAUAAAAAUUGUGGCAGAAUGUGCAAACAAAUUCUUGAACUGCAUUGGUAUAUCAGCAGAGCAAGUUCACAAGAUUCUACAGUCUAA